UUUUCCUUCAAAAUCGCUGAAGAUAGUCGGAAGUCAUUUUAGAGCAAAACUAAUGCCGUUUGAAAAAUGAGCUCCUACCUCAGACUGUUCUGUGGAACAGAGAAAAUCUGAUAAAAUGGUUAAUAUGGGGCUUUCAUUUUCAGGACAAAUGCACGCUUUCAAAUGUGCCAUGCUCUUGUCAAAGUUUUGUCCCUGGGAUUUCAUCAGCAAGUUAGCUGGAGACAAGAAAAUAACUGAGUGUACGAAUUCUAUAAUAAGCAGAACCCCAAAUAUAUGAUUAAGAGGUGAGUUCACUUCUGACACACAGCAAUUAGGAAGAAAUGAAAAGCCCUCCUCCC